AAUUUUGGACAAUGGGGGAAACCCUGAUCCAGCCAUCCCGCGUGUAUGAUGAAGGCCUUCGGGUUGUAAAGUACUUUCGGUAGAGAAGAAAAGGUACCUCCUAAUACGAGGUACUGCUGACGGUCACUGCAGAAUAGGCACCGGCUAACUAUGUGCCAGCGGCCGCGGUAAUACGUAGGGUGCAAGCGUUGAUCGGAAUUACUGGUCGUAAAGCGUGUGUAGGCGGUUCGGAAAGAAAGAUGUGAAAUCCCAGUGCUCAACCUUGAAACUGCAUUUUUAACUGCCGAGCUAGAGUAUGUCAGAGGGGGGUAGAAUUCCACGUGUAGCAGUGAAAUGCAUAGAUAUGUGGAGGAAUACCGAUGGCGAAGGCAGCCCCCUGGGAUAAUACUGACGCUCAGACACGAAAUCGUGGGGAGCAAACAG
rnacentral:rRNA from 1 species